AUUUAGAACUUGUUCAUUUAUUUGUAUGGGCAUUGCUUCUAACUUCACAAAAUUUCUCUCUCUUUCUUCAUUCCUCUUUUUUUCCCUUUUUCUUUUUCUCUUUUAAUAUUCCUUUUGAAGAUUCAUAAAUGAUGAAGAUUUAUAUGAAGUCCUAUCAUGUUUUUCCACAGCUUUCUUGAACUUUCUUUCUUGCUGAAUUUCCAUCUUUGGUAAUUUAUUGGAUUACUAUCAGAAAAUUGCUAAUUUUUUACCAACGUCUAGACGGAAUUUAUCUUGUCGAUAAGGUAAUAUUCAUUGUAAAUGCCACGGACGAGCCAAAUUUUGAUGAAUUUUUUUAGAAAUUAGCGAUUUUCUGAUAGUGAAAAUGAGAUGAGAUUAAGCUAUGAAAGUUCAAGAAUGUUGUGGGAAAACAUGGUGAAUUUAGGACUUCUUUUGUGUGGCUUUCCAUUUUAUGGAGGAUGUUGGAUUCAACAUUUUGCUAUAUAUACAUAGCCCAUGGGUCCAAAGAAAAAUCGCACCCGAAGGCUUGAAAAAUGAGAUGAUAAAUGGCAGAGAAGAUUCUCUUUUUUUCCUCUAUUACCAUCAAUAAUUGAUAUUGUUCAUAUUGUUUGCUCCUUUAUUUUUUUGCUACUUUAUGAUAUCAUUUCUUUCCGUGUAAAAG